UGCGAAGCGAAGCAGUGAUGUGAAGCAAAUCGCACCAAAGCCGGUCCCAGUUCGGAUAAGAGGCUGAAACUCGCCUCUUUGAAGUCGGAAUCGCUAGUAAUCGCAGAUCAGCAUGUUGCGGUGAAUACGUUCCCGGGUCUUGUACACACCGCCCGUCAAACCAUGAGAGUCACCAACACCCGAAGUCCGCUUUGGCGGCCUAAGGUGGGGGAGAUGAUUGGGGUUAAGUCGUAACAAGGUAAC
rnacentral:rRNA from 1 species